rnacentral:misc_RNA from 1 species
GUGGAGAAAGUAGCAGUGAUCAGAACUUUGGUGCUAUUCAAGUUCGUGGUCAAAGGUGGGUUAGCAAGGAUUAGUCAAGAACAAAAAACUGAAAAGUAGUACGCAUCUGCUGCUUUGGAAGCCUGCUGAGUUAAUUCAUUCCCCACUACAUUGUUCAUUUGCUCCAAGGAAGAAGUUUUGCUGCAGAGAUCAUAUAUUAUUACAAGUGAAAAGUCGAAUUGUCAUUUUGUCCCUUUACUAAAUUAAAAUUUGAUUGAAUAUAAAUAUUUUAAUUACAUAAUGGUAGAUUUUG